AGCAUUUCAGUCAAUUGCACUGUGGUAAAAUUGGAAGGAUAGUGAAAAGAUAAGCAUGUCCCUUUUUCAAGAAAGACACACAAAUUCAAGAAGCAUUCCUUCACAUC